UGUUCCUAGGUAUUUAUUCCUGCAAUCACAUCCUGCUUUGCACUUCUGCUUCUCAUCUAGAAAUCAAAAGUAUUGGGUUUUUCGGCACUUCUGCAUAUAGAGGUCAUGACUAUAAGGUUUUUCGCACUUAUGCAUAUAGAUAUCAUGACUAUAGGGUUUUUUUACACUUCUGCAUAUCAUCUAUCACUAGGCAAACGGUUUAUAG
rnacentral:lncRNA from 1 species